UACGUAGGGUGCGAGCGUUGCCCGGAUUUAUUGGGCGUAAAGGGCGCGUAGGCGGCUCUGCACGUCCGUUGUGAAAUCGCCCGGCUCAACUGGGCGGGGUCAGCGGAUACGGCGGAGCUUGAGCAAGCUAGGGGGCAAUGGAAUUCCCGGUGUAGUGGUGGAAUGCGUAGAUAUCGGGAAGAACACCCGUGGCGAAGGCGGCUCUCUGGGACGGUACUGACGCUGAGACGCGAAAGCGUGGGGAGCGAACAGG
rnacentral:rRNA from 1 species